rnacentral:rRNA from 1 species
AGUGAACGCUGGCGGUAGGCCUAACACAUGCAAGUCGAACGGCAGCACAGUAAGAGCUUGCUCUUACGGGUGGCGAGUGGCGGACGGGUGAGGAAUACAUCGGAAUCUACUUUUUCGUGGGGGAUAACGUAGGGAAACUUACGCUAAUACCGCAUACGACCUACGGGUGAAAGCAGGGGAUCUUCGGACCUUGCGCGAUUGAAUGAGCCGAUGUCGGAUUAGUUAGUUGGCGGGGUAAAGGCCCACCAAGGCGACGAUCCGUAGCUGGUCUGAGAGGAUGAUCGGCCACACUGGAACUGAGACACGGUCCAGACUCCUACGGGAGGCAGCAGUAGGGAAUAUUGGACAAUGGGCGCAAGCCUGAUCCAGCAAUGCCGCGUGGGUGAUGAAGGCCUUCGGGUUGUAAAGCCCUUUUGUUGGGAAAGAAAAACAGCAUGUUAAUACCCCGCUGUUCUGACGGUACCCAAAGAAUAAGCACCGGCUAACUUCGUG